AUGCUCCUACGGGGCGCAGCAGUCGAGAAUCAUUCACAAUGGGGGAAACCCUGAUGGUGCGACGCCGCGUGGGGGAAUGAAGGUCUUCGGAUUGUAAACCCCUGUCAUGUGGGAGCAAAUUAAAAAGAUAGUACCACAAGAGGAAGAGACGGCUAACUCUGUGCCAGCAGCCGCGGUAAUACAGAGGUCUCAAGCGUUGUUCGGAAUCACUGGGCGUAAAGCGUGCGUAGGCUGUUUCGUAAGUCAUGUGUGAAAGGCGCGGUCUCAAUCCGCGGACGGCACAUGAUACUGCGAGACUAGAGGAA
rnacentral:rRNA from 1 species